AUUGAACGCUGGCGGCCGGCCUAACACAUGCAAGUCGAACGAGUGGCGGACGGGUGAGUAAUGUCUGGGAAACUGCCUGAUGGAGGGGGAUAACUACUGGAAACGGUAGCUAAUACCGCAUACCAUCGGAUGUGCCCAGAUGGGAUUAGCUUGUUGGUGGGGUAACGGCUCACCAAGGCGUCGAUCCCUAGCUGGGCUGAGAGGAUGACCAUCCACGCUGGAACUGAGACGCGGACCAGACUCCUACGGGAGGCAGCAGUGGGUAAUAUUGGACAAUGGGCGCAAGCCUGAUGCAGCCAUGCCGCGUGUAUGAAGAAGGCCUUCGGGUUGUAAAGUACUUUCAGCGGGGAGGCGUUACCCGCAGAAGAAGCACCGGCUAACUCCGUGCCAGCAGCCGCGGUAAUAC
rnacentral:rRNA from 1 species